rnacentral:lncRNA from 1 species
GGGUUGCUGGGGUGAGGGUGGACAAGACGGCUAGUAGAAGAAAAAGUUUUAAAAAUACACUUAGCUUUCUGUUCCGGGCAGUGGUGGCGCACGCCUUUAAUCCCAGCACUUGGGAGGUUGAGUUCGAGGCCAGCCAGGUCUUAGAGAUAUCGUGAACAUCAGUGCAGCAGUUCUGGUCACCUGGAUUUAUAAACACCAAGAAGUAGCAACAGCCAGUGUGCAAGUCACUGACAACCCAAGUCACCAAAAAUCUUACUGAGAACCCAUUAGCUCCUUGAAUUAAAGAUUAUUUUGUGAAAA